rnacentral:rRNA from 1 species
CAACUUUCAGCAAUGGAUCUCUUGGUUCUCGCAUCGAUGAAGAACGCAGCGAAUUGCGAUACGUAAUGUGAAUUGCAGAUUUUCAGUGAAUCAUCGAAUCUUUGAACGCACCUUGCGCCCCUUGGUAUUCCGAGGGGCAUGCCUGUUUGAGUGUCAUUU